rnacentral:lncRNA from 1 species
GAGAUCCCCUCUCCGUGAAAUCUCCGUGAUGAACAGCAAACAAUAGAGUAGUAGCAUUCGAAUAUAGCUGCUAGACUCUUCCAAUCCAAGUCAAGAUACGAUUCGUUCUCCAUAUCGAGAUCUAGAGACCGUAAGUUAUGGAUCCAUGACCAGUUGUAAAGCCGUGUGCAUAGCCGGUGAAUGAUCCAGUAGCGGGGACAUAAGCACAUACAAAAGUUCAGUAGCGUGGGAAAAAGAAAUAUGCUUCAAGAAGUGAGAGUCGAAGAACAGGAUACGUGAGAGAAGGGGCAAAUUAGCCACCGAGUGGGGGCGGCUGUAGGCAUGCUAGCUACGGCUUCCGGACUAUUUCUGCUCCCGGGCUGUAUCUUGCAAGUCUAUGGUUGUUUUCGGCGAUGUUAUGACUCCGUUCUGGUGCCUUUUUCUCACGAGAGAAUGGAAUUGAUUACCACCCCUCGAUCAGCUAAUAAGGGGCACGGAUCCUUAGCUCCUGCACACACACGUGGUACUGACUUGGCCUAACCGAGACUCUUCCUCGAUUCGUG